rnacentral:rRNA from 1 species
UACGUAGGGCGCAAGCGUUGUCCGGAAUUAUUGGGCGUAAAGAGCUCGUAGGCGGUUUGUACAGUCAGGUGUGAAAUUCCCGGGCUCAACCUGGGGGCUGCACUUGAUACGUAUGGACUGGAGUGGGGAAGAGGGUCGUGGAAUUCCCAGUGUAGAGGUGAAAUUCGUAGAUAUUGGGAAGAACACCGGUGGCGAAGGCGACUUACUGGACACAUAUUGACGCUGAGGUGCGAAAGCGUGGGGAGCAAACAGG